UACGUAGGGGGCGAGCGUUGUCCGGAUUUAUUGGGCGUAAAGAGCGCGCAGGCGGUCGAUCAAGUCGAGUGUGAAAGCCCCCGGCUCAACUGGGGAGGGUCAUUCGAUACUGAUCGACUCGAAGGCAGGAGAGGGUAGUGGAAUUCCCGGUGUAGUGGUGAAAUGCGUAGAUAUCGGGAGGAACACCAGUGGCGAAGGCGGCUCACUGGGUCUUUUCUGACGCUGAGGAACGAAAGCUAGGGGAGCAAACGGG
rnacentral:rRNA from 1 species